GAAGUAAAAGUCGUAACAAGGUUUCCGUAGGUGAACCUGCGGAAGGAUCAUUAUUGUAUAACAAGAGCCAUUCGGGGCUGUCGCUGACCCUAGAGGUCGUGCACGCUUCGAGUGUUCUCAUUUACACAUCCAUCUCACCCUUUGUGCAUCACCGCGUGGGUCCCUUUUUGUCAAUCCAAAAGGUGGCUCACGUUUUUACACAUACGCUGUCAUUGUGAAUGUCUUACUUUUGCGGUUAUAUGCAAUCAAUACAACUUUCAACAACGGAUCUCUUGGCUCUCGCAUCGAUGAAGAACGCAGCGAAAUGCGAUACGUAAUGUGAAUUGCAGAAUUCAGUGAAUCAUCGAAUCUUUGAACGCACCUUGCACCCCUUGGCAUUCCGAGGGGUACACCCGUUUGAGUGUCGUGAAAUUCUCAACCUUUCCAAUUUUCUUGGAAAUGGCUUGGACUUUGGAGGCUUUUGCUGGUCUCUCUAUAGAGAGACCGGCUCCUCUUAAAUGAAUUAGUGGGGUUCUCUUUGCUGAUCCCUCGACGUGAUAAGAUUUCUCUACGUCAGAGGYGUUUGGCUCUAUAGACCUGCUUCUAACCAUCUCUCUACGUGAUUGAACCUUUUUGACCUCAAAUCGGGUGAGACUACCCGCUGAACUUAAGCAUAUCAAUAAGCGGAGGAAAAGAAACUAACAAGGAUUCCCCUAGUAACUGCGAGUGAAGCGGGAAAAGCUCAAAUUUAAAAUCUGGUGGUCUUUGGCCAUCCGAGUUGUAAUUUAGAGAAGCGUCUUCCGCGCCAGACCGUGCAAAAGUCUCCUGGAAUGGAGCGUCAUAGAGGGUGAGAAUCCCGUCUUUGGCAUGGAUGCUUGGUGCUUCUGUGAUGCGCUCUCGAAGAGUCGAGUUGUUUGGGAAUGCAGCUCAAAAUGGGUGGUGAACUCCAUCUAAAGCUAAAUAUUGGCGAGAGACCGAUAGCGAACAAGUACCGUGAGGGAAAGAUGAAAAGCACUUUGGAAAGAGAGUGAAACAGUACGUGAAAUUGUUGAAAGGGAAACGCUUGAAGUCAGUCGCGUCGACCGAGACUCAGCCUUGCUUCGGCUCGGUGUUCUUCUCGGCUUGACGGGUCAGCAUCAAUUUCGUUCCUCGGAUAAUGGCAAGGGAAAGGUGGCACCCUUAUGGGUGUGUUAUAGUCUCCUGUCGCAUGCGAGGGGUGGGAUUGAGGAACUCAGCACGCGCCUCU
rnacentral:rRNA from 1 species